GACGAACCGUGCGAACGUUGUUCGGAUUCACUGGGCUUAAAGGGCGCGUAGGCGGACGGUCAAGUCAGGGGUGAAAUCUUUCAGCUCAACUGGAAAAGUGCCUCUGAUACUGAUCGUCUCGAGGGAGGUAGGGGCAUGUGGAACUUCCGGUGGAACGGUGAAAUGCGUAGAUAUCGGAAGGAACGCCGGUGGCGAAAGCGACGUGCUGGACCUCUUCUGACGCUGAGGCGCGAAAGCCAGGGGAGCGAACGGG
rnacentral:rRNA from 1 species